GAUGAACGCUAGCGGCAGGCCUAAUACAUGCAAGUCGAGGGGUAGAAGAGGCUUGCUUCUUUGAGACCGGCGCACGGGUGCGUAACGCGUAUGCAACCUACCUUCAUCUGGGGGAUAGCCCGGAGAAAUCCGGAUUAAUACCGCAUAAAAUCACAGGAUGGCAUUAUCCAAUGAUCAAACAUUUAUGGGAUGGAGAUGGGCAUGCGUGUCAUUAGCUAGUUGGCGGGGUAACGGCCCACCAAGGCGACGAUGAAUAGGGGUUCUGAGAGGGUGGCCCCCCACACUGGUACUGAGACAAGGACCAGACUCCUACGGGAGGCAGCAGUAAGGAAUAUUGGUCAAUGGAGGCAACUCUGAACCAGCCAUGCCGCGUGCAGGAAGACUGCCCUAUGGGUUGUAAACUGCUUUUAUUCGGGAAUAAACCUUAUUACGUGUAAUAAGCUGAAUGUACCGAAGGAAUAAGGAUCGGCUAACUCCGUGCCAGCCGCCGCAGUAA
rnacentral:rRNA from 1 species